rnacentral:rRNA from 1 species
UACGAGGGGAGCAAGCGUUGUUCGGAUUUACUGGGCGUAAAGGGCGCGUAGGCGGCGUGACUAGUCACUUGUGAAAUCUCCGGGCUUAACUCGGAACGGUCAAGUGAUACUGUCGUGCUAGAGUACAGAAGGGGCAACUGGAAUUCUCGGUGUAGCGGUGAAAUGCGUAGAUAUCGAGAGGAACACCUGCGGCGAAGGCGGGUUGCUGGGCUGAUACUGACGCUGAUGCGCGAAAGCCAGGGGGAGCGAACGGGG